rnacentral:rRNA from 1 species
UACGUAGGGUGCAAGCGUUGUCCGGAAUUAUUGGGCGUAAAGAGCUCGUAGGCGGUUCGUCGCGUCGGCUGUGAAAUCCCGAGGCUCAACCUCGGAACUGCAGUCGAUACGGGCGGACUGGAGUUCGGCAGGGGAGACUGGAAUUCCUGGUGUAGCGGUGAAAUGCGCAGAUAUCAGGAGGAACACCGGUGGCGAAGGCGGGUCUCUGGGCCGAUACUGACGCUGAGGAGCGAAAGCGUGGGGAGCGAACAGG